AUAAUUUUCAUGCAUUGCUUUUUGGGACAUUUUUAUCCAAUUUUCCUUUGACCUUCUAAUUUUUAGUUGGGGAACAGUGCAGGAAACAAUCUGGUUUUGAUGGAAUCCCAAAUUUUUGUUAGUGUAUGUGUGUUCUAAAUAAACUCAACUAGGUCAUAUGACUCAUGAGCUUUCCAUGCUCUCAGUGACUAUUUUAUGUCCACAAGCUUUCUAAUUAAUUUUGUUUGAUCAGACAAACAAUGUUGAUUGCUUCUUUUUAAAAUAAUUAAACUGGUGGCUAACAACGAGGUACUGCUUUAGGGUUUUUGGUGAAAUACCUUGUAAAGGUUUGUAUAGACUCGAUCAAUUUGCAGAACAGAAAUAAGUACUCAAGCCCCUUUUGGCUUUCAAGGACAGCUGUUUUCUCUAGUUUCAGCCCUCUGAUUAAGGCUUCAGGAAGGGACACAGAGCGAUGAGAUAUGCAAUUGCUGCCUUUGGAAGACUUAACAAGCAUGUAGGGGAUUUCUAUGUUCUCUGCAUUUUCUUUUCUUUAUAAGUACAGCAAAAGGAAAACUUCAAAAACGCUACCCAAAGGAGUAUAACUCAACAGACGUCAAAGUUGCCAUUGAUGACAAGAAGUCGUGAAACAAGUGACCAGCUUAUCUUCAGGAAAGAACCAGUAUCUGGAUUAUUUCCAGGCCAUCCAGACAGUUAUUUCAACUGGAACAAGUGACCUUUGGAACAGACUAGAACAUAGCAGUCUGGCCAGACAGAGGGGAGGGAGUAGUCAACUGGGAAGGGCCCCAACAUGUUCUUGUGAAAUGUCACUUGAAGUAAGAGGACAAUAAAAAGUUAAGGACAAAUAAAUGAACUUAAAAAUAUUUAAGUCAAUAAAAACUGUGUGACCACAAUAUGGGAUUCAAGGGAAGAUACAGUCUGAGACUUUAGCUGUCAUUCUUUAAUAGACGUGCUCAACAAAUAUAGUUCUUCAUUCCCUUGAGUACAGAUAAUGUCCCUUAAUUAUACAACAUUCAUCUUUGAAUAUUCACAGCCUUGUAGAAGCCCAAUAAUUAUGUUUGUCCUCCCUCAAUUGGGCCAUAUUUCCUUAGUUUCUGAUUCUAUGGUGGUUGUUAGAUACUCUUAGAGAAUUGUCAAGAUCUUUAUUUAGUAAAUUAUUACUGCAGGAAGAUAGUUAAAAGUAAAGAUUUCAUUAGAGAGGAGAGAGUGAUUAUCUCCUUUGAACAUUUACAUAGAAAGCACGUGGUUCUUUUCUUUCACAGAGAGCAUAAGAAGUUUUAGUUCACAGCCUUAGCAAGAAGCAUGCUAAAGAAUCAUUCAGCUUUUUACUGAACGCUUAUGGGUAUAGUGCUGGGCUUGGCCCAAAAAAGAUAUGACAAUGUUAAGGCAAUACCUCCUUCAAGAUUUUUGGAGAAUAAAUAGAAAAGUUAAAAAUUAUUAAAAAUAUUUUAAAAGAUUUUCCAAGACAGUAUUUUAUAGGUUUAUGCAAAAUAUAUCAAUAAUAAGUUGAUAAAGUACAAUUUACUGAUCAAAUGCUAUAGAACUUCAGAAUGUCCUUUAACAGAGAAUUUAAUUAGUACACUAGUGUGUACCUGGGAAUUCUUUCAAGAAGAUAACUCUCACAGCUUCUAGCCGGGUUCCCUUUACUGAAAACAGCAACAUUUAAAAGCCUUACUGCGUGUUCCAAAGUGCCUAUAGAGUUGUUUGCAAACUGGAAAAGUUUGGCUUGAUAAAUUUUGAGUGUGCCUCUGAAUGAAUGCCAAAAAUGUGGCUACGAUAAACGACAUAGCGUAAGUUUUUGCAAACUUUUAGUUAUACAAUUAUAGUGGUACUAUUAACUGACAUAAAACCCAAAGUUGGUGAUAUAGAAAUAAGAAAUUCAGCUGUUUCAAUUUAUCAUGUAAUGUCAGGAAAAUUUGAACUGAAUCUUUAAAUUUGACUCCUACUUAAAUUUACCAGUUUUUGAAUAUUAUUUAACUAUGAUUUUGGAAGUAGUGUGACUUGAGUCCAUGAACUAGAGUGAAAACAAAUGAAUCCAGAGAAGGGUAAUGUCUUCUGCUAUUUAAAUAAUAUCAAUAUUUCAUAAAAACUCACUUGAAAGCAAGGAACUAAGACCAUAAAUUAUUUUAGGAGGGGGUCUCCUCACUAGAAUAAGGGAAUCCCACUCUGAAUGAAUUCUAAGGAAAAUAUGUUUUAAGGGAGAGAUUUCUAGAAGUGCAUUAUAUUUUUACUGUAACAACAUAAGAUCAAGACAUGGAGCAAGUAUAAGAAUUAAGGUUUGUGUCAAAUUUGCAGGAUGAGCAUUGAUGGAGGAAGUUCUUGAGAAAUUUGUCUGAGGCUAUCUAGGAAGGAAAAGACAUUUAAGUUAGGCCCUUCCUGCAGGAGACACGGGGGUCUGAGGGCAAUACUAGCCAUGCCCAUGGCAACAGAAUGUUAGCUGCCUAGAAGGGGUGUAGUUUGGGUGGAGUCUGAGAUUUAGUUGUCAAAACUGAGUUCAAGAUUCUUCAAGCAAUUUAACAGAGGCUGAAAUCCAAAAUAAUGAAUAAAUAUUGAAUUUGGAACUAUAUAUGGAAACAUUGGAACAGAAAAAUAUUAACAGCCAGUUUUUUUUAUGGUUAUGUUAAGAACAUCAAAAAACGAAAAAAAAAAGUCAGCAUUUAGAAAUACAACGCAAAAUCUAUCUGAAAGUGAAUUCCAAUAAUGUGACCAACAUUUUUUGAAAAAAAUUCAAAUCCAAAACAUAGGAAACAAGAAGAGAUGAGGGAAAUUAUUGCUAUUGGUCUGUCUUGAUAAGUCUCGCACUGGAUAUCUAAGAUUAUAGGCACUAGCCAGUGCUAGGUACCCAAAUUUAAUCAGUUAAAUAUAAGUGCUCUUGGGGAAGUUUUUGGUUCACACAGAACAUUAAUACACGUUGGUUUUCAUUUAUUAAUUCAUGUUUUUGCCUUACUUUUCCUUCAUGACAAUAAGCUAACUGAAGGGAGGGAUCUGGUCAUCUUCAAUUUAACAAUCUCUGUUAGCAAACUUAGUAGAUGUUUUCUUACCCACAUAAUACAUAUUAUUCACAGAAUGAGUAAUAAAUGAAUUUUGUUGAAUGGAUUGAUGAAUUGUUUACUGGUGUGCAAAGGCUGUGCAUGUGAGUCCUGUGUGUCUUUAAAAUAUUUGACAUUGUGUUUUGAAUAGGUUCAAAACUUCUUCAUGACAUUCCAGUUAGCCACAACUCAAGUCCUAUGACCAAGUCCACUGUUUUAAGACUAUCCACCAAGACACCCUUUGUAUUAUUACUAGGUUAAAAAGGCUCUCAAUUUUGAAAAGAGAUAUUUACGCAAUACAGUUAUUGCACCAGAUGCUUCUGGUGAAAGGAACCAAAUUAUGACCUCUCUCACCAGCAGGAUCAAGUCCACUGUUUUCACAACUGAAAGAUAUUUGCUCAUAAAGUUAAAAUG